UUCUAUUAAACGUGCAGGCGCAACUAAAUAGUCUUAGGCUUCAUUUGGGACUGCGGAAAGAUUGCGUUAAAUACAUUGAAAAAAUAUAUUGCCUUCCGCAUAUUUUUUUUUCUUUCGUAAUUUUGCCUUCCGCAUAUCGCGAUGAGUCGGUUACAAUAUAUUUUCUACUGUCUCACCGAAGAAGUAUAUUUCUAUAUAUUUUUUUCUCAACUCUAUUUUAUCUAGCUAAUAGCAUUAGAUAGACCUUAAUACCACAUUAAAGUUUUUAAAUAAAUUGUGCACCACU
rnacentral:lncRNA from 1 species